rnacentral:rRNA from 1 species
UACGUAGGGUGCGAGCGUUAAUCGGAAUUAUUGGGCGUAAAGGGUUGGUAGGUGGUCUUGUUUGUCUAAGGUGAAAUCCCAUGGCUUAACUGUGGAAGUGCCUUAGAAACGGCAAGACUAGAGUCCUAGAGGGGUUUGUGGAAUUCCCGGUGUAGCGGUGAAAUGCGUAGAGAUCGGGAGGAACACCAGCGGCGAAGGCGGCAAACUGGAUAGGCACUGACACUCAACAACGAAAGCGUGGGGAGCAAACAGG